rnacentral:rRNA from 1 species
GACGAACGCUGGCGGCGUGCCUAACACAUGCAAGUCGAACGAGAUCCAUGGGAGCUUGCUCCCGGAAGAUCUAGUGGCGAACGGGUGAGUAACACGUGAGAAACCUGCCCUGGAGUGGGGAAUAACUCGGGGAAACUCGAGCUAAUACCGCAUACCCUCGGAUGGUCGCAUGGCCGACCGAGGAAAGAUUUUAUCGCUCUAGGAGGGUCUCGCGGCCUAUCAGCUAGUUGGUGGGGUAACGGUCUACCAAGGCAACGACGGGUAGCUGGUUUGAGAGAACGAUCAGCCACACUGGGACUGAGACACGGCCCAGACUCCUACGGGAGGCAGCAGUGGGGAAUCUUGCGCAAUGGGCGAAAGCCUGACGCAGCAACGCCGCGUGCGGGAUGACGGCC